GACUAUCGGGAACUGUGGACGUUAUGCACCAGGACUGGGGGAAUCUGCGUAGAUCCAUGGAUACGACGGGGUAAAAAAGGAACUCGACAAUCUGAUGCAUCUGUAUCGGGGGUAUCUCACGAUUCGUAUGGUGCUAUAGAUUGAAAACCAGCAAACUACAUCGUUGUCUCUGCGGUGUGUUCGUUGACGCUGGUGCUGGGGUGUGUUGCGCUGGCUCCUUUGUUCACGCUUUGAGGGGAAGCUGCAGUUUAUGGCAUCAACAACGAGUGGACCGCGUGAAUUCCGUGAGAAGCACGGAGUCGUUGAGGCUCCGAUGAGUGUGCUCGCUUCGAGGGGCUUUCAGCGUGCGCGCUGUUACGCGUCCUCCAGGGGCGCUGUGCUCCCGUAGAGACUUUUUCUGCGUUAGGAUGGAAGUCCAGCGCGCAGUACCCGAAGUAUUGCUUGUGUGCGGUGCAGACAAGGUCGUUGCCCCGGGGGAAGCGCAGCCAAACAGGGGCAUUUACUUGCAGCAUGUCCAGUAACAGGUAUAGCGAGCUUGUCGCGCAGAAGACUCGGGUACAGUGCCGAGCGCUCAGUGCCUGGUAUCUGUCGCAGCUGCCACUCGGCUGGCGGAACAAAUGGAGAACGUCGCAGAGAGGUGCCUCAUGGUGUCUUUUGUGGUCGCACUGGGAAGCGCUGCAGCGCUGCAUGACGCCGAGGUGAAGCGCGUUGUAUCGAGCUGCGGUUCUAGUUGCGUUGCACGCCCUGAAACUUGAUCGUCCUCACAGGCACCGAGAACGUUUCUCUGGCGGACCGCUAAAGAGAAACACCCGGCCAGGCCGUACGUUGCAUUUCUAUUGUGGAUAGGUCAGGAUACAUGCAUGACACCGAGCGUCCACGCAAACCGGUUGCAGCGCGAAUGCCGCCGCCCCCGGGUGCACGUCCAAACAAAAGCGUUCCUCCGCAAAGAUGCUACUGGAAACGCGCUUGCUCUACCACACUUGUUGGGAAACGCGUGAGAAGCGUUUCUCCACAGAGACGCCAGGGUAAGCAUAGUGGCAGCCUCGGCUCGCUGCACAGGUCGUCCUCUCGGAUACUGGUAACUGCUUCCGGCACCCGCGCGGCUUUCAAGUUCAGUGCUGUAGAAGCCGUCUUGUUGGAGCAUGAUUGUUCUCGCUGCUCGCGUGAUAUGAGCGGCCCACGACCGUUCUUGUACCUACUGCUGCUUCGGAAGCCCUUGCAGAUACCUCUUGCACGAGCGACUACUCUUCGUAGUGCCGUAUAUCCGAGCAAUGGCUCUCGAGACAACGUGCUGCAGCGACAAGAGCAGCAUCACGCUCCAUCGCAGAGUCCACCAAUAUCCAUAGCGAUCGCAAGCGUCGUAGAGCGCUCUGCAGACGCAGACAUCAGCACCUGCUCGUAGCGUCCUGCACUUGAUGCAUCCCGGUAGCACGUUAGCUAGCAAUCUGCCACAUACAUAUACACACCCACACACCCAGACAAGCGCUAUCUAGGCCUUGAGAGACUCGACCGCUUCGCCACACACUCGAUGAGUCCACGAGGAAUCCACGAUGCGACCGAGGUGCUCGGCAGUAAGGCCCUCGGCAAAGCGCCCAGUGAACUUGCCAGUAAUAUUCUAUUCGUGUACACUGAGCGCAUCGAGGGUAGACCGACAAUACAGCACCCAGUAAAAUUACCAGUAAU
rnacentral:misc_RNA from 1 species